rnacentral:rRNA from 1 species
UACGAAGGGGGCUAGCGUUGCUCGGAAUCACUGGGCGUAAAGGGCGCGUAGGCGGCCAUUCAAGUCAGAGGUGAAAGCCCAAGGCUCAACCUUGGAACUGCCUUUGAUACUGUUUGGCUUGAGACCGGUAGAGGUAAGUGGAACUGCGAGUGUAGAGGUGAAAUUCGUAGAUGUUCGCAAGAACACCAGUGGCGAAGGCGGCUUACUGGACCGGUUCUGACGCUGAGGCGCGAAAGCGUGGGGAGCAAACAGG